UUUACAUUUUGUUUUCCUUCAGGUAUGUUUUGACUGUGCAGCUAAAAACCCCAGCUGGGCCAGUAUUCCAUAUGGUGUCUUUUUGUGCAUUGACUGCUCCGGCAUUCAUCGCUCUCUUGGAGUACAUCUCAGCUUCAUCAGAUCCACUGAGUUAGACUCCAACUGGAACUGGUUCCAGCUGAGAUGUAUGCAGGUUGGAGGCAAUGCCAAUGCGACCGCCUUCUUCCGGCAACAUGGCUGCUCUACAAACGACACGAAUGCCAAGUACAACAGUCGUGCAGCUCAGAUGUACAGAGAGAAGAUCAGGCAGCAAGCAAACGCUGCUUUGUCCAAAUAUGGUUCUGAUGUAAGUUCCUUGUAAUGUAAAUUACUAUGCUAAUUAUAUAAUUUCCCAGUAAUUGGUCUCUGUCAGCUUUAAUAGUCUGAUUUAUGGCUCAG